rnacentral:rRNA from 1 species
AAACUGGAGAGUUUGAUCCUGGCUCAGAAUGAACGCUGGCGGCGUGCCUAACACAUGCAAGUCGAGCGCGAAAGCGACUUCGGUCGUGAGUAGAGCGGCGAACGGGUGAGUAACACGUGGACAACCUGCCCAGUAGUGGGGGACAACUUGGGGAAACCUAAGCUAAUACCGCAUACGUUCCAUCGGCCUCGGUCGGUGGAGGAAAGAUCGCCUAUCCUUGGAAGCGAUCGCUAUUGGAGGGGUCCGCGGCUGAUUAGCUAGUUGGUGAGGUAACGGCUCACCAAGGCGACGAUCAGUAGCCGGCCUGAGAGGGCGAUCGGCCACACUGGAACUGAGACACGGUCCAGACUCCUACGGGAGGCAGCAGUGGGGAA